CGGCGGGUGGUCGGGCUGGAGUCGAUGCUGGUGCCGCUGGCCGGCGGCGGGCCGACCGUCGACCCGGAGGUUCUGGUCACCCUCGCCGCC
rnacentral:tRNA from 1 species